GGGGGAGUCAGAGAGAAAGAUGGACAGAUAGAGGGGCGGGGGAGUCAGAGAGAAAGAUAGACAGAUAGAGGGGCGGGGGAGUCAGAGAGAAAGAUAGACAGAUAGAGAGGCGGGGGAGUCAGAGAGAAAGAUGGACAGAUAGAGGGGCGGGGGAGUCAGAGAGAAAGAUAGACAGAUAGAGAGGCGGGGGAGUCAGAGAGAAAGAUAGACAGAUAGAGGGGCGGGGGAGUCAGAGAGAAAGAUAGACAGAUAGAGGGGCGGGGGAGUCAGAGAGAAAGAUGGACAGAUAGAGAGGUGGGGGAGUCAGAGAGAAAGGUGGACAGAUAGAGGGGCGGGGGAGUCAGAGAGAAAGGUGGACAGAUAGAGGGGCGGGGGAGUCAGAGAGAAAGGUGGACAGAUAGAGGGGCGGGGGAGUCAGAGAGAAAGAUGGACAGAUAGAGAGGCGGGGGAGUCAGAGAGAAAGAUAGACAGAUAGAGGGGCGGGGGAGUCAGAGAGAAAGAUAGACAGAUAGAGGGGCGGGGGAGUCAGAGAGAAAGAUGGACAGAGAGAGGGGCGGGGACUGAUAGGCUCUCUGUGUUCUUAUACCCUCUCUAUCAGAACAGAGAGAGAGAAAAAGAAAGAGAACGAAAGUCAGAAAGAGAGAGGAAUAAGGCAGAGGACAG
ensembl:lncRNA